GACCAUAAUAUUUGCCAAAGUGUAGUCUUGAAAGGAAGUAGCCAGUUUGAAACUGGUGCCAUAAAGCUGCUUUCUGACUUGCUAAUGUCGACUUCUUGUAAGUAAUUUCACUGGUCAGUCAAAUUUUGCAAAAGAGUGUUAGCACGUGUAUACACACUUGACAUCAUUUACCAUGUCUACAGCAGAUUUUGGUCUUAAUAAAGAGACUUACUGUUGUUUCUAUGUAAGCUUAUCAAACCAAGAAAAGACUAGUGGCUUAAGUCGCAGACUGCCAUAU